rnacentral:rRNA from 1 species
AGCGAACGCUGGCGGCAGGCCUAACACAUGCAGGUCGAACGAACUCUUCGGAGUUAGUGGCGGACGGGUGAGUAACACGUGGGAACGUGCCUUUAGGUUCGGAAUAACUCAGGGAAACUUGUGCUAAUACCGAAUGUGCCCUUCGGGGGAAAGAUUUAUCGCCUUUAGAGCGGCCCGCGUCUGAUUAGCUAGUUGGUGAGGUAAAGGCUCACCAAGGCGACGAUCAGUAGCUGGUCUGAGAGGAUGAUCAGCCACAUUGGGACUGAGACACGGCCCAAACUCCUACGGGAGGCAGCAGUGGGGAAUCUUGCGCAAUGGGCGAAAGCCUGACGCAGCCAUGCCGCGUGAAUGAUGAAGGUCUUAGGAUUGUAAAAUUCUUUCACCGGGGACGAUAAUGACGGUACCCGGAGAAGAAGCCCCGGCUAACUUCGUG